rnacentral:rRNA from 1 species
CCUACGGGAGGCAGCAGUGAGGAAUAUUGGUCAAUGGGCGAAAGCCUGACGCAGCGACGCCGCGUGAGGGAUGAAGGUCUUCGGAUCGUAAACCUCUGUCAGCAGGGAAGAACGGUCACUGUGCUAAUCAGCCGUGAAUUGACGGUACCUGCAAAGGAAGCACCGGCUAACUCCGUGCCAGCAGCCGCGGUAAUACGGAGGGUGCGAGCGUUUAUCGGAAUUACUGGGCGUAAAGCGCUCGUAGGCGGUAUGUCAAGUCAAGGGUGAAAUCCCCGCGCUCAACGUGGGAACUGCCUUUGAAACUGGCAAACUGGAGUGUGUGAGAGGAUAGUGGAAGUCCAGGUGUAGGAGUGAAAUCCGUAGAUAUCUGGAGGAACAUCAGUGGCGAAGGCGACUAUCUGGCACAUAACUGACGCUGAGGAGCGAAAGCGUGGGUAGCAAACAGGAUUAGAUACCCCAGUAGUC